GGGGUUUUAGCUCAGUUGGUAGAGUGCUCGCUUAGCAUGUGAGAGGUCAAGGGUUCAACUCCCUUAAAUUCCA
rfam:Anncaliia algerae PRA109 cont4.8141, whole genome shotgun sequence.